rnacentral:SRP_RNA from 1 species
GCUGGGCAUGGUGGUGCAUGUCUGUAAUCCCAGCUACUAGGGAGGCCAAGGCAGGAGAAUUGCUUGAACCCAGGAGGUGGAGGCUGCAGUGAGCUGAGAUCAUGCCACUGCACUCCAGCCUGGGUGACAGAGCAAAAUUCUGUCUCAA